CCUACGGGAGGCAGCAGUAGGGAAUCUUUCACAAUGGGCGAAAGCCUGAUGGAGCAACGCCGCGUGCAGGAUGAAGGCCUUCGGGUUGUAAACUGCUUUUAUAAGCGAGAAAUAUGAUGGUAACUUAUGAAUAAGGAUCGGCUAACUACGUGCCAGCAGCCGCGGUCAUACGUAGGAUCCGACCAUUAUCCGGAGUGACUGGGUGUAAAGAGUUGCGUAGGUGGCAUAAUAAGUAGCUAGUGAAAUCUGGUGGCUCAACCAUUCAGACUAUUAGCUAAACUGUUAAGCUCGAGACCGUUAGGGGUAACUGGAAUUUCUAGUGUAGGAGUGAAAUCCGUAGAUAUUAGAAGGAACACCAAUAGCGUAGGCAGGUUGCUGGGACGGUUCUGACACUAAGGCACGAAAGCGUAGGGAGCAAACGGGAUUAGAUACCCGAGUAGUC
rnacentral:rRNA from 1 species